UUUUUUUUUUUUUUUGCCUCUUUUGGGCAAUAAAGUGGAAAUUUUUUGAGGAUUAACAACUUUGAAAGGCCUUUCAAAGGUUGCCAAAGCCACUGGUAAAACAGCUGGCUGGAAAGUUGAAUGAUGGGCCAGACAAGGUGGCACACAGCUUAAAUUCCAGCACUCUUGAAACUAAUCUCAGGGGCCACAGGCCAACCUUGUCUACAUAAAGUUCCAGGCUAGCAAGACUACCUGUAAGACCUUGUCAAAAAAAAAAAAAAAAAAGUGACUGAUGGGUUUGAAUCCCUGCUGUGCCCUCACAACAGUGCACUUUCAGCGCAGCUGCCCAAUCGCACCUGUAAAAUGAGGACACCCAGGCCAGGGAGAUGGAGCUAUCGAUAGACACACUCACAGCAUAACCUGAGUUCUCAGGAUCCAGGUAAAUACACGGACUCUCUAGUCGCUAUCCUGAUAAAAGUUAUGCAUUAAGACCUAUUUAGGGGCUGGGGAAUGUAUCUUAUAGUUGGCAGAGUUCGUACCUAACAAAUACUAAAUCCUAGGUUCCAUUCCAGUGCCACAUAAAACUGGGAAUGGUGGGACAUGCCUGUAACCUCAGCACUUGGGGCAGCAAGAAUAGGGCUGGCAAGACCACAGCAGACUGAAGGCUGUGGGGCUUCAUACGGAGCAGGGCAGACGGCAGAACUCAGUUGGUGAGAAAACAGCGUGGAUCUUGCUAAAGGUUAGUUCGUG
rnacentral:lncRNA from 1 species